CAUAUACCACACGUGGUAUCAAAGGACGCCAUUUUUUCAACACAAUCUUAUAAUGUGCGGAGUCCUUUGUUGAGUAAGACUAAAAGCAUGAGAGGAAGGGAGGUGUAUGUUGCUGCUAUCAUUGACUUGGAAAUGUAACUUGCAGUAUGUUUUGGAGACCAGCACAUUUCCCAGAUUCUUGAAAUGGACAGCUGGGCAGCUCAAAACUUACCACUUUGGGACAGGGUCCGAAGACUGUUUUUGAUGUCAGCAGAUGCAAGUGCGAAAACCCUUGAAUGAAAUGCUGUCAGUGCAUGCCUGAUUGCAGAUAUUUUUUAUCAGUUCUGUUGCAUUGUCACUGACAACAGUCUUUUUUAUGACCUCCUUCAUUGAGACAACCACAUUGUAUCAUGAAUGGUACUUCCAUUGAUCAAUAAAGUUUUGUUGAGAUUGA